GCUAGCUCAUUUUUAUCUCCCUCCUUGGAAUCUGACAGGCCAGAAAGAGUUCUGAUUUCAAAGGGAUGCUUGCUUGCCUUCUGUCCUGAUGCCAUCUAGGAUUGUAAAUGCUCAGUGUCACACUGCUGAGUGGAGAAAGUCAAGAGAUGGGUCACCAUGUGAUCUCCUGAGAGGAGAGGACGCAUCAGGAGGGUGUCCUCGGAAAGAAACACUGUCUGAAAUAAAGAUCCAUAAAGCUGUUACUCUCGAGCUUCAGUGGGAUGCAUUCAGACCAUGGUACUUUCUGGAAAACAAUCAAAAAGGAUAAAUUAUGCUGAAGUUUGAUAUUCUAAAAUGCUGUUGUCCUGAAGAGGACACAUGAAGAAAAUUCUUUUAGAUGAGCAGAAAAAGGAAGGCCAUGAAGAAGAGUCAUUGUAUGAAUCCCAUUGGAUAAUAUGUGUGAAACCUAACUGGAGCUGAGCAUGCAAGGAGGAUCCAGAAGGUGUUGUUGGAAUCAUCCUAUCAUCAGCUUUCUCUCCAGGAUGGGUUCUUUGAAUGAUGGAAAGGAAAGGACAGGGUAUUACACAUAUGUAAAUGGAGCAUCAUGCAAGCAAGAUGAAACUAGUCAGCUUCAACAAGUCUCGAUUUUCUUUGGAAAUAGGGAUAAAGAUGCAUUUGUUGGGAGGACUAUAUUAUAUUAUUUAGGACAACUGGCAACACACACAAGUCACUUAAUUACAGUGUAAUUUGCUGUUCAUCUCUGUACAAAAUGCAGAAAUUGAGUUUCUUCUUUAACAAAUUAUUUCAAUAUUUAUUUGAGAAAAUAGGUUCUACUGAAUUUUAAAUUCCAGUUUCUUCACACUCUGAUUCAUUUGGCAAUGAUGUCUUGACUGCUUUUGUACAUGACUACCUAAGGAUUAGCCACAACAUUCCUGGAACCCUGAAGAUGAAAUUAACUAUGCCUAUUCCAGCAAAUAGUACCUGUUAUAGCUAGAGAGUAAUUGUGUCUUAUUGUCUGAUGGUUUAUUGACCUGAAUUGUUUUUAAUAUAUUGUGACUUUAUUGUAUAACAAAACAGAAUACCCCAACCUCCAACUAUAUAAGUACUUAGCACGUCACCUGGUAUGAGGCACUAAGUAAAUAUGCGUAUACUCAAUGAUAAAAUUUUUAAAUGCUUAUUUUUUAUGUGUACAUGUACAUGUAAAGUAUCAAUUUUCAGUUUUCACAGAGGCCAGAAGAGCCACUAGAACUGGAGUAAACCACAGUAUAGUUGCUGGGAUCUAAAGCCUAGACUUUUACAAGAGCAGUAAAUGCUCUUAAUCAUUGAGUCAUCUCUCAGAAUCACUAGUGCUCAAAUCUUUGAUGACUGAAUAAAUGAAUAUAAAUUAUAUAUACAUAUAUACUUAUAUUAAAUAUAUGUGCACACACACAGACAUAUAAAACCUGAUGAGUCCAUUUAGUACUCUUUAUGUGUGAAUGUUUAGGGCUACCCAAUUAGGAUUGCAUACCCUUUCAAGGUGCUCAUAUUUGAAGAAGCCUGAUUUUCUCUCUUUCUUCAGCCUGUCAUUAUAACUCUUCAUAUAUCAAUGGAGCCUUAUGAGAUUUUAUACCAACUGGCAUAUCAAUGGAUAGUGUUAUUUUUCAUGCUUAUUUGAGGAACUAUGCUGUUGAGAUUUCAUGGGUGCAGCUUCCCUAUCAUACAUAGAUGACACUAUCUCCCAGGAGAUGUUUUGUCCCUUCAUUCUUGAAAUAUUUCUGCCUCCAUUUCUGUAACAGUCCCCGAGUUUUAGGUGUAGAUGUGGUGUUGUCAAUGCUUCAGUUGGCUUAAGGUACUCCAUGUAUAGUUAUUCCCUUCACUUUGGCCAGUUUUUGUAUUUAUGUGCUAAUGUCCCUUUGCUGCAAAAGGAAAAAGAAAGCAUAUUUGUUGAGGAGGAUAAGCAUUACUUAUCUGUAGGUAUAAGGGUAUAGGUAUGUAAAAUGCAGUUGGAAAAUACUCACUAGCCAUGGACUAAGCUAAUAGUUGACUAGGUCCAUGGUUGCAAGUAUGUGUUCCCUCUUAUUGGGAAGGUUUUAAAUACAAUUAAACAGGUGUUGUUUAUUACAAAGGUAAAAGUGCCCAUAUCAUACCUUUCUUGUUAUCUUGCCAUGAUGGCCAUUGUCGGACUAAUACAAUUUACAUUUGGGUGGGAUUCUUAAUUGCUUUUUUUUUCCUUAAGAAUUUUCAUGGCACCUUCAUAUACUAUGAGAGGUGGUCCUUAAGGGUGCAACAUUAAUUACAGUGGAAUUCUUCCAAGUCGUAUGUCUAAAGCAUGUGUGGCUUCAGCAAUAGGUCCUUAUCUUCAAAUUUGUAGUCAACCAAGGGAGCAGCAAUAGCCUGUAGUUUCUUUGUACCUCAUGGACUACCCUGACCAAAUUUCAAAGGGAUGUUUCUGCUGCUUGGAACUUGGGUUUUUGUUAGAUCAUCUGUGGUUCUUGCAGGAAAUACUGUCACUCCAAAUGAUGUAACUUCAUUUAAUCUAUGUAUUUAUGUAUCUAUGAUCAAUCUAUCUGUAUGUAUCUAUCAUCUUUUUAAGCAUCAUUUACAUAUCUAUACAUCAUGUAUCUAUAUACAUAUAAACAUGAGAAUAUACAUAUGUAAAUAAAUAAACAUUAUAUAAAAUAUUUCAUAAAUAUCUCUCUAUGACUUUUCAAACAUCCUCCCUACUAUUUAUUCCUCAUUGCCCCUUGCCCUCCUUUUGAUUUUUGAUCCCUUCUACUCUCCAGUUAAGGCUCCCCCUCAAGAUUUCCCUAUUAUAACACUUGUGUUCUAUUCUAUCCCUAAUAUUCUUUCUUGUCAACUGCCUCAUGGUUCUUUUUUAUUUUACUAGUUCUUCACUUACUCAAGAUUACAUACUCAUACCUAAAUAUUAUAAAAUAACAUGCAUAAAUAAGGGAGAACCCUAAGCCAUUUGUCUUUCUGGGUCUUCAUUACAUCUCUUAGUCUAAUAUUUUCCUCUUCCAUCCAUUUACCUGCAAAUUUCAUGAACUCAAGUUGAUUUACAACUGAGACAAAUUAAAUUGUGUAUGUGUACAUUUACAUAAGUUGAAAGACAUUUAUGUUGUUUCCAUUUGUUGCCUGUUGUGAAUAAUGUAGCAAGAAAUGCUACUGAGCAUGUAUCUUGCUGUUAAGAUGUUGAGUGGAGACCUUUGAACAUAAGCCAAGGAGUAGUACAGAUAGUUCAUACGGUAGGCCUGUGUUUACCUUUUAGAUAAUUCUCCACACUGGUUUCCAUAGUAGUGCAUCAGUUGGCAAUUCAACCAACACUGAAUAAGGUUUCCUCUUUCCCCACAUCCUCAUCAGUAUUUGCUGUCAGUUGUUUUCAUUAUGUUAGCCACUCUGACUAGGGUAAGAUGAAAUCUCACAGUAGUUUCAACUAGUAUAUCUUCAAUUGCUAACUAAGGAUGUUGAACAAUUUUAAAAACAUUUGUUAACCAUUUUUAUUCCUUCUUUUGAGAGCCCUGUUCAAACCAAAAAUCAUAUUUCUUAAUUGGGUUGUUUAUUUCCACGACCCUUUGUUUUUUAAAUUCUUUGUAUAUUUCUGGGUAUUAAGUCUCUAUCAGAUGUAUAACUGGCAAAGAUUUUUCUCCCAUUUGUUCUCUUCCUUUGCAGUUUCCCACACCCACGUACUAUACAGAACUUUCUGAGUUUGAUGAGGUCCCAGUUGUUGUCCUUUAUUCAUGAGCAAAAGAACUACUAUUUGGAAAGUUCUUUCCUAUUCUUACAUUUCAUAGGACACUGCCCAUGUUUCCUUUUAUCAGUGUCUUUGACAGACAAAUAAGUUUGAAAGUUAUAUACAUAUGUUUUGUGUGCAUUGUACCUUCCAAACUUUCCUUUUUAG